AGUGGCGGACGGGUGAGUAACGCGUAAGAAUCUAACUUCAGGACGGGGACAACAGUGGGAAACGACUGCUAAUACCCGAUGUGCCGCAAGGUGAAACCUAAUUGGCCUGGAGAAGAGCUUGCGUCUGAUUAGCUAGUUGGUGGGGUAAAGGCCUACCAAGGCGACGAUCAGUAGCUGGUCUGAGAGGAUGAGCAGCCACACUGGGACUGAGAUACGGCCCAGACUCCUACGGGAGGCAGCAGUGGGGAAUUUUCCGCAAUGGGCGAAAGCCUGACGGAGCAACGCCGCGUGAGGGAGGAAGGUCUUUGGAUUGUAAACCUCUUUUCUCAAGGAAGAAGUUCUGACGGUACUUGAGGAAUCAGCCUCGGCUAACUCCGUGCCAGCAGCCGCGGUAAUACGGGGGAGGCAAGCGUUAUCCGGAAUUAUUGGGCGUAAAGCGUCCGCAGGUGGUCAGCCAAGUCUGCCGUCAAAUCAGGUUGCUUAACGACCUAAAGGCGGUGGAAACUGGCAGACUAGAGAGCAGUAGGGGUAGCAGGAAUUCCCAGUGUAGCGGUGAAAUGCGUAGAGAUUGGGAAGAACAUCGGUGGCGAAAGCGUGCUACUGGGCUGUAUCUGACACUCAGGGACGAAAGCUAGGGGAGCGUAAGGGAUUAGAUACCCCUGUAGUCCUAGCCGUAAACGAUGGAUACUAGGCGUGGCUU
rnacentral:rRNA from 1 species